AGAGUUUGAUUCUGGCUCAGGAUGAACGCUAGCGACAGGCUUAACACAUGCAAGUCGAGGGGCAGCGGGGGUGAUGGCUUGCCAUCACCUGCCGGCGACCGGUGCACGGGUGAGUAACACGUAUGCAACCUGCCCGCCACAGGGGGAUAAGCGGAAGAAAUUCCGUCUAAUACCGCGUGACGCGGCGUCGGGGCAUCCCGGUGCCGCCAAAGGGAUUACCGGUGGCGGAUGGGCAUGCGGCGCAUUAGCUAGUCGGCGGGGUAACGGCCCACCGAGGCGACGAUGCGUAGGGGUUCUGAGAGGAAGGUCCCCCACACUGGUACUGAGACACGGACCAGACUCCUACGGGAGGCAGCAGUGAGGAAUAUUGGUCAAUGGGCGGGAGCCUGAACCAGCCAAGUCGCGUGAGGGAUGACGGUCCUACGGAUUGUAAACCUCUUUUGCCGGGGAGCAAGCGUGCGUUCGUGAACGCGCGUCGAGAGUACCCGGAGAAAAAGCAUCGGCUAACUCCGUGCCAGCAGCCGCGGUAAUACGGAGGAUGCGAGCGUUAUCCGGAUUUAUUGGGUUUAAAGGGUGCGUAGGCGGGAUGCCAAGUCAGCGGUAAAAAUGCGGUGCUCAACGCCGUCGAGCCGUUGAAACUGGCGUUCUUGAGUGGGCGAGAAGUAUGCGGAAUGCGUGGUGUAGCGGUGAAAUGCAUAGAUAUCACGCAGAACUCCGAUUGCGAAGGCAGCAUACCGGCGCCCUACUGACGCUGAGGCACGAAAGCGUGGGUAUCGAACAGGAUUAGAUACCCUGGUAGUCCACGCAGUAAACGAUGAAUGCUAACUGUCCGGUGCGAGUGAGCGCUGGGCGGUACAGCGAAAGCGUUAAGCAUUCCACCUGGGGAGUACGCCGGCAACGGUGAAACUCAAAGGAAUUGACGGGGGCCCGCACAAGCGGAGGAACAUGUGGUUUAAUUCGAUGAUACGCGAGGAACCUUACCCGGGCUCAAACGCAGGAUGACGGGUCCCGAAGGGGGCCUUUCUUCGGACAUUCUGCGAGGUGCUGCAUGGUUGUCGUCAGCUCGUGCCGUGAGGUGUCGGCUUAAGUGCCAUAACGAGCGCAACCCCUGUCCACAGUUGCCAGCAGGUAAAGCUGGGGACUCUGUGGAGACUGCCGGCGCAAGCUGCGAGGAAGGCGGGGAUGACGUCAAAUCAGCACGGCCCUUACGUCCGGGGCGACACACGUGUUACAAUGGCAGGUACAGCGGGAUGCCACGGGGCGACCCGGCGCUGAACCCGAAAACCUGUCUCAGUUCGGAUUGGAGUCUGCAACCCGACUCCAUGAAGCUGGAUUCGCUAGUAAUCGCGCAUCAGCCACGGCGCGGUGAAUACGUUCCCGGGCCUUGCACUCACCGCCCGUCA
rnacentral:rRNA from 1 species